AGCUGUGACUGUCACAGCAUAUUACUCCCAUUGCCCCAUCAGAGAGAAAUGUAAGUAGAUACAAGAUGGAUCAUCAGUCAGAAUGAGGCUGCAGUGUCAUACAGAGUCAAGGCAAUUCUCAGUGAAGAGCCCAAGGAGCUGGGGUGGAACAGAAUUAGGAUUGCUGACUUCAGCUGACCAAAGGGAUAUUCCAUAACAUAUGACAUCAUGCAGAAGGAGUUUCGAAGGGGGUACUGUGAUGCCACUCUUUAUCAAGUGUGCUCCGUGGACUAGAACCAGGCUUGAAGAUCACAUGUAUCCAUUCCAGCUCUAUCUUUUUGAUGUAUAAUAAAAAGUUUUUCUCAUACGUUUUCACAGA